GUAUUGCACUAGAUUUCGUACGGGAGCAUGAUCAGAGGGCCUCGAGCAUUUAUGGUUAGGAUCAGAUGGAUAGAAGGCUUGUUUGACUCAUUUUGGGACACAAAGCCCUACUGGGACUUGGUUUGAGGCCUUUAAGAAGGCCUGUGGGCAACCGAGGCUUGUGUAGGCAGUCGGCAGAGAUCCUAUGCGCAACAGCAGAAUAGAGAGGAGUUCGACAAUAGGCAGU
rnacentral:lncRNA from 1 species